rnacentral:rRNA from 1 species
UGGGGAAUCUUGGACAAUGGGGGCAACCCUGAUCCAGCGACGCCGCGUGGGUGGUAAGGCCUUCGGGUUGUAAAGCUCUUUCACCGGUGACGAUGAUGACGGUAGCCGGAGAAGAAGCCCCGGCUAACUCCGUGCCAGCAGCCGCGGUAAUACGGAGGGGGCAAGCGUUGUUCGGAAUUACUGGGCGUAAAGGGCGCGCAGGCGGUCUGUUGCGUCAGGCGUGAAAGCCCCGGGCUCAACCCGGGAACUGCGCUUGAUACGGGCAGGCUUGAAGCCGGCAGAGGGUGGUGGAAGUCCCAGUGUAGAGGUGAAAUUCGUAGAUAUUGGGAAGAACACCGAAGGCGAAGGCAGCCAUCUGGGCCGGUCUUGACGCUGAGGCGCGAAAGCGUGGGGAGCGAACAGGAUUAGAUACCCGGGUAGUCC